rnacentral:piRNA from 1 species
UGCCAAACACCAACAAGCAAGAUGGUU